CCUCAUCCUGCUCAGCGGGCUUGGGUCGUCCGGCCGCGGGGUCAGGGAAGACCAGAGGACCACUAGCCCCAGGAAGCUUCCCACCACCAGCAAACUGCGUGGUGAAUUUGUAACCGAAAGGCCCAGGUGAGAUGUGCAAAUAUCACUGGAUUGGAGGAGCUCACUUGGAAAGCCAGUAUUCCUCCUGAGCUAAUGAAAAGAAAGGCUGUCGUCUUAUGCCAAAAGCAAUACCAACCUUGUUCACGGGCUGAGAUCUAGAGUGUGUAAUUCACGAAGUAUGAAUCUGCUGGGUAAUGUGAUAUGAAAAGCGAAUGCACCAUUUCUUGGUGAUGAUUCAGGUCAGCGUUGGGACCCAGGAAUCUCCUGUUAAUCAGUACCCUGGUGAUUUUGAUCCAGAGACGGGGUCUAUUAUCUGGUCCUGUUGUCAAGGCUGGUCUCAAACUCCUGGCCUCCAGCGAUCCUCCCUUUUUGGCCUCCCAAGAUGCUGGUAUUACAGGCAUGAGCCACCAUGGUCCACCCGGACUCCUUUUCAUAGGAGACAGUUCCCUAGGCAGAGACUGGGCUUGAAACAGUUCCUCUAAAGAAGAGGGUAGAGACUAGAACUGAAUGAGAUGGACAUAGAGAUGGCCAAGAAAAGCAUCGUCCUCUGCCAAGUCAUGGGGUCAUGUGUGGUGGAUGGUGACAUGGUGUCCUCAGCUCAGAGUCCAGCUGGGGGCUCAGAAGCAAGAUAAAAAUGUGUAUGAAGGUGGAGCCUUGUCUAUCUAGUUCGUUAUUGUUAUCCGUGUCUGGUAUGUGGAAAGGGCUCAGUGAGUAUUUCUUGAUGGAAUGCUGAAUGAAUAAUGGGAUUGAAAAUAUAAAAGGCAGACAAAACUUAGAAGAGGGGCCAGGUUUACUUCAAUUGCUAUUCCUCCUCACUGGGAGGUUUUUCUUCCAAGGACAAAACUUUGGAGGUUUUAUUAAAUUAGAAAAGUGAUUAUUUUACAUAUGGUCAUCAUCAUCAAUUGAUAGGCUGUUGUUUCCCCCUUACUCAGCAUCCUACUAAGGCUGCUUAGAACUAAGAAGAAAGGGUAAUUUUAAUUUAAGUUCAUAUUUUUGUAUGUACGGAGAUUUAAAAAAAACAGCUACAUUAAAAUGGGAAUAUGUAGCCAUAGGGAAUUAUUUGCAAACAAAUUUCAGUAUUAUCUAUGUGUGGUUGCCAAGAACUCAGGUUAAAUUAGAGUCAGUGACCUCUAAAUGACUAAAUAUCCUAUCACCUAUUCUAUAAGCCAUUUAAUCACCUCUUUUCAAAGAAGAAGAGCACAAUUGGUAGUAUCUUUAAAGGAAGAUACAUUUUAUUGUUUAGAAAAUAACUACUAUUUAGAUAUCAAGGGAAGCAUAGUGUAAGUUUGUUAAGAAUUUAUUAAUUUUGUGUACUGUUCAUUAGUUACCUCUUACUGCUUAACAAAUGACUCCAAAGUUUAGCACUUUCAAACAACAAACAUUUACUUCACACAGUUCCUGAAGUCAGGAAUCUAAGAGUGGCUUAACAAGGUGGUCUGGCUCAGGGUCUCUCAUGAGGUUCUUACCAAACUAUCAGCUGGGACCACUAUCAUAACCAACUGGGCCUGGAGAAUUUGCUGUCAAGUUCACCCACAUGGCCAGCAGGCAGGCCUCAGUUCCUCACUGGCAGGCGGUGGGAGGCUUCAGUUCCUUGUCACCUGGGCUUCUCCACAGGGCUACUCAUGACAUGCCAAGCUGACUUCCCCCCUUCAUGAAAGAUCUGAGGGAGAGAGAGCCCAAGGCAGAAUCCACAGUCUUGUAUAAGAAAUAAUCUGUAUACUGCCUUCAUCUGUAAAAUGAAGGUGUUGGACCAAAUGAUCUUUAACAUUCUUUCCAAUACUGAAAUUCUGAGAUUUUCCUAUGAUGCCGAUGUGUGAUUGAGACUAAUUUGUGCUUUCAUGUGGAAUACUAUGAGGUAAAAUCCUGCCUUUGUACUUUUUUUCUGACAUGGGGUACUAUUUCUAUCAUAAGCUUGAGAUGGAUAAUUCCUGAGUUGUGCUCAUCUGGAAUAAAGGACUGUUGUCAAGGGCUUCCAUUUAAUGAGGUUAAGGGUCUCCUACAGUGUUUGGAAAGCAAAAAUAUUUAUGUAAAAGCCCUCAGAUUUCACAUCGUAGAACACUACCUCUUCAUAAUUUGGUACUGUUUUUGGACUCCCAUAAUUCAGAAGUGCUCUUCUGAUCUAACCAUUUAUUUAAGAGGUGAUUGAAACGGAUUUUGUCUCUUACCACUCUUGUUUAAAACCUCUUCAACAGCUUCCCAUUGCUCUUAUAUUUAAGCCCAAAUUCCUCCAUUUAUUACAAAGCCUUUGUGAGCUUGCCUCUGCUUACCUCUGCAGCCCCAUGGCUGGUCAGUUAUCCCCUCUUUUGCAACUUAAACUAUAGCCAUGUUGAUUUUCUCUCCAUUUCUGAAAUAGGCUAACUUCCCUCUCACUUCUAGACCUUGUGUGUGUUAUUCUCUCGCUUAGAACACUCUGUGGUUCUUACACCAACCCCUCUCCCAUGAACUCCCUGAUAAUCCUUCAGAUUUCAAUUUAUACAUCAGUUCUUUCAGAAACCUCUAAUUGUCUUCAGUCCCCGAUCCCACUGCUAGGUUAGAAGACCCUCCUUCAUGCUCUCAAAGCACCCUGUAAGUUCUCCCUCAGAGCAUAUAGACCAAGUUUCUUUUCUUUUCUUUUCUUUUCUUUUCUUUUC
rnacentral:lncRNA from 1 species